UUCACGCGGCGAUAUAAAGUUGGAUCGCCAGUAACCGGAAGUUAAAAUGCAAACGCUUCACUAGGAAGCGUUUCACGCAGCUGGUGCAAAAUCACUUUUAUUUUUUAUCUGCGGGAAGGAAAAACAGUUUUAUGUUGUUUUUUUUUUCCUGUGAGAUAGCACCAUCAUCAAAAUACAGAUGCUUUUCCUACAUCAGUGAUUUUUCACUACAGCCUAAGGGCCUCUUGGCUUUAAAGCUCUAGUUAUUUUUGCUAAUAUAUCAAGAAUUUAACUCCUAACUAUUUCAUAAAUCAACUCCAGAUGCACUGUACAGUAUUUAUAUACUUAUUUUCAGACGUACAUUCUGGCUCAGUAGAUUGCCAACUCACCAUUUCAAUGCUUCAAAGCGAUGAUGCUGGGAAUUGUCAGCUCUGAAGACAAGGUUAGCUCACAGGAGCAGAAUGUACUGUGUAAAAUGCUGAUUUAUGAAAGUGUUACAAUCCAUAUAUCUUGCAGGUCGAAUUGCAUGCAUUAUAUGAUCAGAAAUACACAGAGGAUUGAUCUGCCAGUGCUUAUUUUAAAGCAGAAUUCAUGUUGUCUCCAAAGGUGAGGGUGCCAGUGAUGCACUGGGGCAGAAGCUAGAAGGUGCAUCUUUCAACCCACCCGAGCCUGGAGAAGCUGUGGCAAAGCACUCCUGUACCCUGAUAACAAAACCCCGUGGCCUUACCCUCAUCCCAACAUUGCUGGGAGCAGUGAGCACCCUGCCCUGCCCAGGAUGAAAAAUAUCUCCUAAAACACACUCCACCCAUGUUUCAUGCCCUGCCCAGCCUGCUGCUUCGUCUCCAGGUGCAGAGGAAAGAGGUUAUUUUUGGCUAAGGUGCUACUGUCGUGGGACCUGGUUAUUUUAUAUAGUUUCUUUCCAGUUCCAGGUUAAUACAACGAUUCUGAUGAGCCGAUGUACAGAAAAUGGUAUCCCUGUCCUGUCUGAUGUCUUCUUGGUCAAGUCCAGUCUGUGUUUAUUGCUUCUCAAAUGGUAGCUGGAUUUGCUGGGUUUACAGAUCUUGCCUGGGGUGACAGCGCUGCUUGUCCAUGCAGGAAUGGACAAAUAGAGUUGAAGUUAUUUACUUUGUGAAUAAUAUCAUAAUUUUUUUUUUCUGAGUACCAGUUCGAUUAAAUAGUUUGGUUUGGGGUUUUGGCUGGUUUUUUUUUUUUUUCUUUUUUUUUUUUUUUAAUGAGUAUAAUGGUGCUGAAAAUGUAAAAAGUAAAUAAUUAGACUUAUAAAAUAGAGCAUUUAUUUAUUUAUAGUGGUCUAAUUGAAGGUGUUCCCCUUGUUAGUGUUAAAGUGGAAUAAUCUUAUUGUACAGGCAGCUGUAGAAGUAAGAAAGUACUUUAAACUAGUAGAAGAUUUUUCACACCUGCUCUCUUUAUGAAGCGCCGUCUUGCUUUUCCGCUGGUCUGACACAUGACUGCAGACCUGGCUCGAUCGGGAGUCUCGAUGUCCACCCACGCUGGAAGGCACAUCCGGACGGCCGGAGGCGUUGCCGGCUGCCGGCGAUGAUGGCAGAGCCCCGCUUGUGCGGCAGCUCCAGGCCUUGCCAGGCCAGGGCACGUCAGUAUUUCUUGUCCCUCACUUUCGGGGUGUCUUCCCGGUGCGGGGAACCCCCAAAGCCGGCCAAACCCUCCUGCGGGCGAGGAGCGCACCCCACGCCGGCGGUGCGGGGCGGUGCGGGGCGCCGGGCUCAGCGCCACCGGGAGCUGCUGAAGUGAGAACUUGAAAGGAGCCGUCGGUGGCGAGAAGAGGCGGACAAAGCAAGCGCCGAGCUACCGAACGCGGCGCUCUGCCGGCGAGUUUUAAGGCGCUUCAAGUCUAAAGGAGAAGUGACAGGGCAAUCAUCUCCCCGGCUUGGCUGCGGAUGGGAGGGUGGAAUCUUGCUAACAGCUCGCGUAUCUGUAUAUUUAAUUGCGACCUGGCUGCAUGUUCCUGUUGAGGAAGGAUGCAGAUCACAAGCGAAUCUAUAAAAACGCAGUUGACAAGCCAAGGAAAGGGAUAACUGACAGAUGAAACGACAGUCAGCGCGGAGCUAACUGGCAAACGCAUCGGUACAAAGUCAGAUACCUUCUUAGAGGAGUAGUAGUUUGUUUUAUUCCGGUUCUCCAGAGUUUUAUCUACUGUCGAUGUGAUGGGGUAGAGAGGAGCUAAUGCGCCCUGUUUAGGAUACACACAUGCAGAUUAGAUCAGGCUUCAGACACCGUGUUUCACUCAAGACUUAGAACAGUUAGAGGAAUAAACCAGGCUUCACCCACCUAGGAAAACAUGGAAUUUUCUUGUAAUGAUUUAAAGCUGAUUUACACUUGUUUAAACACAACCGUUUCACAUACAGAUAUAGGGAGCUAUCGGGAGUUGAUGGGGUCGGGAGCUGGGGCCCGGAGCUCGCCACCACCGUUAUGCGAGGCUGGGGCGCUGGGAAUACCAGCCCAGCUCCCGUUUUCUUCACUUUUGUGUUACUUUAAGUUUUCAAUGAGGCUAGUGUAAUUACGAGGCGUUUAACUUUUUGCCAGGCUCUUUCAUUAUGGCUUUGCAUUUGCACCUCGCUUUUAAGAGAAGUAAUAACAUUCACAGUCAGGGGCAAAUCCUGUUAAUGAACAAAUUAAAGUUCAAACAGUUAUUCAA